GACCGUGUUGGACGAACCGCUGGUUUAUCGGUUAUGCCGCCAGGCGUAUUGCCGAGUAGCUACGUUCGGUUGAGAUAAGUGCUGAAAGCAUCUAAGUACGAAGCUUGCCUCAAGAUUAGAUCUCAUUAUAAGGGUGGUUAUAGACGAUGACCUUGAUAGGCUACAGGUGUAAAGGCGGUGACGUCAUAGCCGAGUAGUACUAAUUGCCCGAAAGUUUUUGC
rnacentral:rRNA from 1 species